GAGGUACUCCCUCCGUUCGGAAUUACUUGUCUCGGAAAUGGAUGUAUCUAGAACUAAAAUACAUCUAGAUACAUCCAUUUUCGCGACAAGUAAUUCCGAACGGAGGAAGUAUGAC
rnacentral:pre_miRNA from 1 species